AUACCUUUCUCGGCCUUUUGGCUAAGAAGAUCCAUUCUUAUUAGUUUAAUAUAUAAUAUAUGGGCCAAUAAGAUCAAGUCUGCACGAUAUUAACUCAAUUUGUUUAGGAAAAAACCCAAUAAGGUAAUUUGCUGCUUGGACCUUUGUGCGUCGCCUUGGUGUUGCACUACUACCUUCGCCUGGUGUAACCUAC
rnacentral:snRNA from 1 species